rnacentral:sRNA from 1 species
CAUCACUAAGACAGAUUACUUAACGAAGACGUUUAGUUACCUUAUUUUUCUUCGUCGCCGUUUCACACACUAACACUACAAC